CUCGAGUAAGGCGGGACACGUGAAAUCCUGUCUGAAAUUGGGGGGACCACCCUCCAAGCCUAAAUACUCGCACAUGACCGAUAGCGAACACAGUACCGUGAGGGAAAGGUGAAAAGCACCCCGAUUAGGGGAGUGAAACAGUACCUGAAACCGGAUGCUUACAAGCAGUUGGAGCCCCAUAGGGGGUGACAGCGUACCUCUUGCAUAAUGGGUCAGUGACUUAAUUUAUCGAGCAAGCUUAAGCCGUUAGGUGUAGGCGUAGCGAAAGCGAGUCUGAAUAGGGCGACUGAGUUCGAUGAAUUAGACCCGAACCCCGGCGAUCUAGGCAUGGCCAGGUUGAAGGUGCGGUAACACGCACUGGAGGA
rnacentral:rRNA from 1 species